rnacentral:rRNA from 1 species
UUAGUCAAUGCUCUCACGAGUGAACUAGCUAACUGAAAUCAUUUGUGUGUCACAAGUGAUAACGUAAAGGAAAAUAAUGAUAUUACUUUACUAUUAGUGUCGUCCAAAACUGGUGCCAGAAGACUCGGUAAGGCCAGAGACGCAAACGUUAAUCAUCUUUAUCAGGCGUAAAGGGUUUGUAGGCUGCUUUAAAAAGCUCAUAUUUAUAAUAGAAUUUCUUUUUUUUAUUUUCUUUUUUUUUAAUAUUAACAAAUAAUAUUUGUUUAUUUGAAAAAGGUGUAUAAAAAUUAGGAAUAAAUGUGACAUAAUUAAAGCUAGAAUCAAAUAGAGGUUGAAUAAAGAAUGCUUAGAGUAAGGCUGAGAUCUAAAAAUCCUAAGUAGAAUACUCAAAGCGAAGGCUUUCUUCCAUUAAUGAUUGACGCUGAGAAACGAAGGUUAGGAUAGGAAAUAGGAUUAGAUACCCUACCACCCCUCUCUGUCAACGAUGAAUGGUAGUUAUUAAUACAAUUAGUAGCGAUGUUAACGCGAUAACCAUUCCGCCUUGUCAGUACAAUUGCAAAAUUGAAAACAAAAAAACGGUCUUGAAGCAAACGGA